rnacentral:lncRNA from 1 species
UCUUCCUAUCUUCUGUCCACUUCUGCGUCAUCUCAGCUUUUUUCCUCUCAUGGCUCGCAAACUUCAAGCUCCUUCUCUUCGCUUUUGAUCAAGAACCUUUAAGCCCACUUCCUUCAAAUCUCUUCCGUUUCUUCUGCUUCACCUGUUUCCCCAUCAAAACCAAUCAAAACCCUUCUUCAUCAAAUCGAAUCUACAACAAACCUAUGCCUAGAUGGGUUCUUGCUUUCAAAGUUAUGAUCUUUUCCUUCUUAUUACAUCUCUACGGUGACAAUUAUCAUAACAGUUUACCUCCGUUCGCUUUCUUGGUUAUGUUUACCAUCCAUCUCUACCUUGAGUCAGAAUUUAUCUUAGUCUUCGUCGGUGCCUUGCUCUCUACGCUUCUUGGUUGUGAAAUCGAACCGGUCUUCAAUGAGCCUUACUUA